rnacentral:pre_miRNA from 1 species
ACUCUUGUAUUAACCUCAAUUCACAUGUGUUGAUGUGGAUUGAGGUGUAAAUUAGUUUAAGUUAUAUCCCAAUCCACAUCAAUACAAGUGGAUUGAGAUUAAUACUAGA